AAGGGGAGCGGGUCUACAGGGGCGGGGGCACCCGGGCGGGGCCAGAGGGACGAGAGCCCGGAAUGACCCUGCGCAACAGGCGGUGUACAAGCCCCCCGCGCCCUGUGCAGAGAGAGGAAACGAAGUGGGGACAUCCGAGGAGCCCAGCCCCGGGGGAAUGGAAGUCAUGCAGUCUGUCAUCAGCCCAUACUAUGGACAAGACACUGUGCUGUGCUCGGAAACCACCGGCAGCCGCACUGAAAGGAGGCAGAUUAAGGUGGGACCAAUCCCUAGAGAAGGACAUCAUGUUUGGUAAAGCAGAGGAUCAUCAAAAAAGAGGAAGACCCUCAACAAAGUGGAUUGACACAGUGGCUGCAACAGUGGGCUCAACCAUAGCAACAAUUGUGAGGAUGGCCCAGGGCUGCUGGGCAACAUUUCUUUCUGUUACACAUAAGGUCCCGAGAGACAAAGGGAUGUCCCCACUUUCGCCAAACAUCUGGAGCUGUAGCAGGAGCCCCCUGGUUAAACAGCCCGGAGGAGAUGGCAGAGGACUAACUUAUCAGAAGCUGAUUGGAGGACAUUAUUUAAAAACCGAGUGCGUGGUGGUCAGGAACGUAGGUGGAGAAGAGGAGGAGCCAGAAGCAUUUCUUUCCUCAGCUUCUGCUUCCAAACGGCCCUGGGACUGCACCAAACCAAACUCAUUGCCAUCGAGUCCGUUCAGACUCACAGCAAACCUAUAGGCCAGAGUAGAACUGCCCCACAGGGUUUCCAAAUCUUUAUGGGAGCAGACUGCCACAUCUUUCUCCUGUGGAGCAGCUGGUGGGUUCCCAAUCUUUAGGUUCGCGUGUGAGGGCUUAACCACUGUGCCCCCAGGGCUCCCAUCCUCGGACUACAUGGCCCAUAAAUUAUCAGUUCCAGGUUAAGAAGGCCCCCAGAGAUGGCAGAGGCCUGAAUGCACCACAAACCAGGAAAUAAGUUCAGCAGACCAAACCCACCCAGUGGUACCACGGAAGAAAGGCCUGGAAUGGUCAAUAAAACACAGAUGCCUCCGAGUCAUCUUCAACUCAUAGCAACCCUGUGUACAAGAGAAGGAAACACUGCUCGGUCCUGCGCCAUCCUCACAAUUGUUGUUACGCUUGAGCCCAUUGCUGCAGCCACUAUGCCAAUCCAUUUCAUUGAGGGUCUUCUGCAUUUUUGCUGACCCUCUACCUUACCAAGCAUGAUAUCUAAUACCUCCUGACAACAUGACCAAAGAAUGUGAGACGAAGUCUUGCCAUCCUUGCCUUUAAGGAGCUUGCUGACUAUACUUCUUCCAAGACAUUUGUUCGUUCUUCUGGCAGUUCAUGCUAUAUUUAAUAUUCUUCACCAACACCAUAAUACAAAGGAAUCAAUUCGUCUUUCUUAUUCACUGUCCAGCUUUCCCACGCAUUUGAGGCAAUUGAAAACACCAUGACUUGGGUCAGGUACACCUUAGUCUUCAAGGUGACAUCUUUGCUUUUUAACACUUUAUAAGAGGCCUUUUGCAGCAGGUAUGCCCAAUGCAAUGCAUCUUUUGAUUUUCAUAAUCAAUGGGUGUUGAUUAUGGAUCCAAGUAAAAUGAAAUCUUGACAACGUCAACCUUUUCUCCAUUUAUCAUGAUGUUGCUUAUCGGUCCAGCUGUGAGGAUUUCUGUUUUCUUCAUGUUGAGGUGUAACCCAGACUGAAGGCUGUGGUCUUUGAUUUGCAUCAAUAAAUGCUUCAAGUCCUCUUCACUUUCAGCAAGCAAGGUUGCAUCAUCUGCAUAUCGCAGGUUGUUAAUGAGUCUUCCUCCAGUACUGAUGCUCCGUCCUUCUUCAUAUAGUCCAGCUUCUCAGAUUAUUUGCUCAGCAUACAGACUGAAUAAGCAUGGUGAAAGGAUACAAUCCUGACCCACACCUUUCCUGACUUUAAACCACUAAGUAUUCCCUUGUUCCGUUUGAAGAACUGCCUCUUGAUCUAUGUAUAGGUUCCUCAUGAGCACAAUUAAGUUUUCUGGAAUUCCCAUUCUUUGCAAUGUUAUAUACAUAAUUUGUUAUGAUCCACACUGUAAAAUGCCUUUGCAUAGUCAAUAAAACACAGGUAAACAUCUUUCUGGUAUUCUCUGCUUUUAGCCAGGAGCCAUCUGACAUCAGCAAUGAUAUCCCUGGUUCCAUGUCUUCUUCUGAAUCCAGCUUGAAUUUCUGGCAGUUCCCUUUCGAUGUACUGCUGCAGCCACUUUUAAAUCUUUAGCAAAAUUUUUCUUGCAUGUGAUAUUAAUGAUCAAUAGUUUCCGUAUUCGAUUGGAUUACUUUUCUUGGGGCUAGGCAUAAAUAUGGGUCUCUUCCAGUAGAUAGGCCAGGUAUCUGUCUUCCAAAUUUCUUGGCAUAGAUGAGUGAGCACUUCAGCACUGCAUCCAUUUUUUGAAACAUCUCAAUUGGUAUUCCUUCAAUUCCUGGAGCCUUGUUUUUCACCAAUGUCUUCAGUGCAGCUUGGAGUUCUUCCUUCAGUACCAUCAGUUCCUGAUCAUAUGCUAGUUCCUGAAAUGGUUAAAGCUCGACCAGUUCCUUUUGGUAUAGUGACUCUGUAUAUUCCUUUCAUCUUCUUUUGAUGCUUCCUGCAUCAUUUAAUAUUUUCCCUGUAGAAUCCUUCAAUAUUGCAACUCGAGGCUUGAAUUUUUUCUUCCGUUCUUUCAGCUUAAGAAAUGCCAAGUGUAUUCUUCCCUUUUGCUUUUCUAUCUCCAGGUCUUUUUACAUGUCAUUAUAAUACUUUACUUUGUCCUCUUGAGCCGUCCUUUGAACUCUUCUUUUCACCUCUUUUACUUCAUCAUUUCUUCCCUUUGCUUUAGCUACUCCACAUUCAAGAGCAAGUUUCAGAGUCUCUUCUGACAUCCAUUUUGGCCUUUUCUUUCUUUCCUGUGUUUUUAAUGACCUCUUGCUUUCUUCAUGUAUGAUGACCUUGAUGUCAUUCCACAACUCAUCUGGUCUUUUUGGUCACUAGUGAUCAAUGCUUCAGAUCUAUUCUUGAGACGGCCUGUAAUUCAGGUGGUGUAUACUCAAGGUCAUGCUUUGGCUCUUGUGGAUUUGUUCUACUUUUCUUCAGCUUCAACUUGAACUUCCAUAUGAGCAAUUGAUGGUCUGUUCCACAGUUGGCCCCUGGCCUUGUUCUGAUGAUUUUGAGCUUUUCCGUCAUCUCUUUCACAGACAUAGUCAAUUUGAUUCCUGUGUAUUCCGUCUGGAGAGGUUCACAUGUGUAGUUGCCGUUUAUGUUGUUGAAAAAAAUUUUUGCCACAAAGAAGUCUUUGGUCUUGCAAAAUUCUGUCAUGCAAUCUUCGGCAUUUUUUCUGUCACCAAGGCUGUAUUUGCCAACUACUGAUCCUUCUUCUUUUCCAGCUUUCACAUUCCGGUGACCAGUAAUUAUCAAUACAUCAUGACUGCAUGUUUAAUCAAUUUCAGACUGCAGAAGUUGGUAAAAACGCCUGCAAUUUCUUCAUCUUUGGCCUUAAUGUUGGUGCAUGAAUUUGAAUAAUAGUCAUAUUAACUGGUCUUCCUUGUAGGUGUAUAGAUACUGUUCUAUCACUGACAGCAUUGUACUUCAGGAUAAAUCUUGAAGUGUUUAUUUUGACCAUGAAUGCUACCCCAUUCCUCUUCAAUUUUUCAUUCCCGGCGUAGUAGACCAUAUGAUUGUCUGAUUCAAAAUGGCCAAUACCAGUCCAUUUCAGCUCAUGAAUAUCUAGGAUAUCAGUCUUCAAGUAUUGCAUUUCAUCUUUGACAACUUCCUAUUUUCCUUGAUUCAUAUUUCCUGCAUUCCAUGUUCUGAUUAUUAAUGGAUGUUUGCAGCUGUUCUCAUUUUGAUUUGUGCCACAUCAGCAAAUGAAGGUCCAGAAAGCUUGACUCCAUCCACGUCAUUAAGGUCAACUCUACUUUGAGGAGGCAGCUCUUCCCCAGUCAUCUUGUGAGUGCCUUCCAACCUGGGGGGCUUAUCUUCCCGCACUAUAUCAGAUGAUGUUCCGCUGCUAUUCAUAAGGUUUUCAGGGGCUGAUGCUUUUCAGAAGUGGACUGCCGGGUCCUUCUUCCUAGCCUGUCUUAGUCUGGAAGCUCAGCUGAAACCUGUACACCGUGUGUGACUCUGCCUGUAUUUAAAAACAGGUGGCAUAGCUUCCAGUAUCACAGCAAAACGAAAGCCCCACAGUAUGACAAACUCACAGAAGUGUGGGGAAAUGGAAUUUUUAAGCAUUCAGAAAAGUUUUCAUUGUAAGAGAAAAGUAGAUCAGAGUUAACUACAUAAAAAAUUUGAUAAUUCAUUGUAUUGUUGUUGAAAAUAUACACUGCAGAACAUACACCAAUUCAACAAUCUCUGCAUGCACAAUUCAGUGACAUUGGUUACAAUCUUCAAGCUGUGCAACCAUUCUUACCCUCCUUUUCUGAAUUGUUCUUCCCCCAUUAACAUAAACUCACUGCCCCCUAAGCUUUUUAUCUAAACUUUCAAGUUGCUGUUGUCAAUUUGAUAACUACAUAAAAAUUUUAAACUGCUAUAUAUAUUAAAGAUAUAGUAUACUAUAUUAAGUUACUAUAUUAAUUAGAUUAAAGUGUGUGGAUUACCCCUUAACAUAAAGAAAACAAAAAUCCUUACAACUGGACCAAUAAGCAACAUCAUAAUAAACGGAGCUCAGCUGCUAACCAAAAGGUCGCAGUUUGAAUCCACCAGUCACUCCUUGGAAACCCUAUGGGGCAGUUCUACUCUGUUUUAUAGGGUCACUAUGAAUUGGAAUCAACUUGACAGCAAUGGGUUUGUUUUGUUUUGUUUUUUUGAUGAGUCAACAGCAUACAAGUGUACUGGAGCUGGCUCCUUCUGCCUUACAAAAGGCUAUUGUUAAACUUUGAAAAAUUUUACAGACUGCUUUUUAAACAGUUGGAAGCUUCCAGUCAGCCCUGGUGGAAGCAUUUACCCCAUAGAAAUCUGCAAACACUGCAAACACCCCACUAGCCCACCCCCCAGGGAGGCCACCACCAUCCUUAAGUAGUUAGAUUGGGUUUUUCUGUCACUAGCAAUCCAGAGAAUCUUGGGUAAUGAAGCCAGAGAGUGUGAGAGCACCCAAAUCUCUCCUAAGACCAAAGCCACCAGUCCCCGGGGAUCCCCAAGAAAGGCAGAAGCCCAAGGAGCAAUGCCAAAAAGACCUUUAUCAUUAAACGCCCCAAACCUCCAAGCAGAACUCUUGUGCAGACAACCGCCCUGCACAGCCACAGCUAGACACUUAGGGGUCUGCCCUUUCCCUCAGCCUGAAUCUUGGGUCAGCCCGCCUGCCACAUGGAAGAAGAGAAAGCAAAGGACAUGUCUGGACCUUCUGUAGGGCUCAUGCGCUGGGUCAGCUUUUCCCUCGGCAUUGGGGUGGGAAGCAUUCAAUAGAUUGACUGAAAAAAGAGAAAUUAUACCUAUUUCUGGUGUUCCUGGGUGGUGCAAAUGGUUAACUCACCCAGCUGCUAACCAAAAAGUUAGAAGUUCAGUUCCACUCAGAGGCACCUUAGUAGAGAGGCCUGGUCAUCUGCUUCCAAAAAAAUCAGCCAUUGAAAAUUCUAUGGAGCACAGUUCUACUCUGGCAUACACAGGGUCACCAUGAGUCAGAGUCAAGUCCACAGCAAUUGGUUUAUACUUAUUUCCAGACUUCUUUGUGCCUGGUGAGUCUGCCAACUGGCAUAGGUGACCCAAUGAGUGCCUGGCAUCAGGCUAAUCAUAUUCCUCCCUCUCCUGGAAAAAUAAAACAGGAAAGGGGGUGUAAGGGAAGAGUCUGAAAAUAGAAGCCUCUUCCAGAUGCCUUCAGAAUCAUUUUGGCAACAAGUAGGAGCAUUAAAAUUGUUCAUACAUUCUACAUCAGUGAUUUCAUUUCUGGGAAUCGUUUCUAAAGAAAUACUACAAAAGAAAGGGAAAGGUUUAUGUACAAACUUGUUGAUUACUCAGUUAGUUUAAAUAGGAAAAAAAACUGGAAGCCACACGAAUGUCUAACAAUAGGGAAGAUUAAAUAAAUUAUAAUACGUUCACUCAGUUAAAUGUAUCAUAGUCAUUAAAAACUGUUUUGUAGAAAAAAAUAAUAAAAUGGAAAAAAUUCUCACCUUAACUAAAUAAAAAUUAGGAUUUAAAUUUCAUAUCCAGAAUGUCUGGUAAUAUAAAGAAGAAAAAAAGGCAAACUAUGCACUGACUGAAAAAAAAAAAACUCCAACAUGUUAACUGAUUUUCUUCACAUGGUAGAUCUAUUGAUGGUUUUUAAUUUACUUUUCUCUGUAUUUUCUAAAUUGUAUUCAGUAAGCAUAUAUUGCUUAUAUAAUAAUAAUGGCUGCCAUUUAUUGAGCAUUACUGAGAAUUUACCAUGUGCCAGGCCCUCUGCUAAGCAUUUUUUACAGAUUUUUUUUUUUAAAUCUCCCAGUAGCCCUACGAGGUAGACACCUUAAUUAUCUCCAGUUUACAAGUGAAGAAACUGAAGUUUAGGGAUCCUCAGUACUUUGCCUAGAGUCUACUAGUAGGUAGAAGAGCCAGGAUUUAGAGCCCAGUCCACUUGAUUUCAGAGCCAAAGCCCACUGUCCACCUAUCCUACCCCUACCCAAUAACAAAAAGCAAAAACCAAAUCCAUUGCCAUGGAGUCAAUUCCUACUCAUAGUGACCCUAUAGGACAGAGUAGAACUGCCCCAUAGAGUUUCCAAGGAGCACCUGGUGAAUUGAACUGCCAACCUUUUGGUAAGCAGCUGUAGCUCUUAAUCACUACACCGUCAGGGUUUCCAACCCAAUAAGGAGAGAAAAUAAAUAAUUUAUAUAAAAUUUUUUUUUUUUAUACAUAUACAAGGAGCCCUGGUGACAUAGUGGUUAAGAGCUCAGCUGCUAACUAAAACGUCGGCAGUUCAAAUCCACCAGCUGCUCCUUGGAAACCCUGUGGGGCAGUUCUACUUUGUCCUAUAGGGUCUCUAUGAAUUGGAAUCGACUCGACAGCACACAACAACAACAUACAUAUAAAGUAGGAGCCUUGAUGGUAUAGUAGUUAAGAGCUACUGCAAGCUGUAGCUACUACUAAACAAAAGAUUGGCAGUUUGAAUCUACCCAGAGGCACCUUGGAAGAAAGGUUUGGUGAUCUACUUCCAAAAAAUCAGCCACUGAAAACCCUAUGGAGAACAGUCGUACUCUGACCUACGUGGGGUCACCAUUAGUCCGAAUUGAUUUUAUCGCUCUGGUUUACAUAUACAAUGGCCACAACAAUGGACUUAAACACACCAAUGAUCCUGAAGAUGGCACAGGACUAGACAACAUUUCAUUUUGUUAUACAUGUGGUCACCAUGAGUCGGAGCAAACUGGGUGGCAAUUACAACAAUGUACAUAUAAUGUACAUUCAUAUCGAAGAAGAAUAACUUCUUUUAAGUAGAAGAUCCAUUCUUUGGGGCUAGUUCAAGGAUUGCCUUUUUCUUGAGAAUAUCUGCUUCUGUCCCCGAACUGUUCUUGAACUCCCAUGCUGGUAUUUAUUCCCUUUUGCUGACUCUUAUACUCUCCUCUAUUGUUUCCAUAUACAUAAGGUUAUACACUCAAAUAGACCAGGAAGCCUCCAGGGUAGGAAGAGUAUCUUCUUGCUCUGUCCUUCCCUCCUUUUCUUUCUUUCCUUCCUUCUGUACCCUAGAUGUCAGCUACAACCUCUCUGUACCAUAAGGUAAGAUAGAAAUCACCACAUCCAUAUCCAUAUCCUAAGGGAAGUUUAAAGGCUUUAUCCAAGAUUUCUGCAAAUUCCCUGGGAACUUACUGUCAGAAGUUUACUUUUUUAUGGUCCCUUCUGCCUCAAACUCCUAAUUCCACUGAACUAGCUCAUGCAGUAAAUGGUCUAGCCUUUCUGUCCUGAUCCAGAUGAAAACUCAGCCCCUCCUUGUUUUCUACAGAAAACUCACUCUAAUAAGGCAACUUGAAAGCAUAUACUUUAUUUUUUUUGUCUUUUUUAAAAAAUUGUGCUUAAUCGAAAGUUUACAGUUCAAGUUAGUUUCUCAUAUAAAAAUUUAUACACAUUGUUAUGUGACCCUAGUUGCUCUCCCUACUAUGUGACAGGACAUCCCUCCUUUCUACCCCGGAUUUCCCAUGUCCAUUCAACCAGCUCAUGUCCCUUUUUGCCUCCUCAUCUCACCUCCAGACAGGAGCUGCCCAUUUAGUCUCAUGUGUCUGCUUGAGCUAAGAAGCACUCUCUUCGCGAUUAUCAUUUUAUGUCUUAAAGUCCAAUAUGAUCUUUGCCUGAGGAAUUGGCUUCAGGAAUGGUUUCAGUUCUGGGCUAACAGAGAGUCUGGGGGCCAUGUCUUCUGGAGUCCCUCCAGUUUCAGUCAGACCAGUAAGUCUGGUCUUUUUACUAGAAUUUGAGUUCUGUACCCCACUUUCUCUGGCUCCAUCAGGGACUCUCUGUUGUGUCCCCUCUCAGGGCAGUCAUUGGUGGUAGCCAGGCACCAUCUAGUUCUUAUGGUCUCAGGCUAAUGGAGUUUCUGGUUUAUGUGCCCCUUUCUGUCUCUUGGGCUAAUAUUUUCCUUGUGUCUUUGAUGGUCUUCAUUCUCCUUUGCUCUAGAUGGGUUGAGACCAAUUGAUAUAUCUCAGAUGGGUGCUCGCUGGCUUUUAAGACCCCAGACACCACUCACCAAAAUGGGAUGCAGACCAUUUUCUUAAUAAACUUUAUUAUGCCAAUUAGCCUCGAUGUCCCCUGAAACCAUGGUCCCCAGACCCUCGCCCCUGCUACUCUGUCUCUCAAAGUGUCUGGUUGUGUUCAGGAAACUUCUUAGCUUUUGGUUUAGUCCAGUUAUGCUGACUUGCCCUGUACUGUGUGUUGUCCUUCCCUUCACCUUAGAUAAUUCUUAUCUACUAUCCAGUUAGUGAAUACCCCCUCUCCCUACCCUCAUAACCAUCAAAGAAUGUUUUUUUCUGUGUUUAAACCUUUUUUUGAGUUCUUAUAAUAGUGGUUUCACACAAUAUUUGUCCUUUUGCAUAGACUUUAUUAAAGAUAUUAGAUGCUGAGGACAGAUUUACAUUGCUGAAACUCCAAUUUCAACAUGAAUGUUGGACAUCCCUGUGAAAACCAAACCAAACUUUUUUGACACCAGGCCCCUGGAGAUGUUUUAUAUCUUGGCUGCUUUGCUUUACAUAAUAUCUCAUUAGAUGCUCUCUCUCUCUCCCUCCCUCCCCACAGCCUUCUGACUCUACCUCCAGCCCAUACCUGAACUUAAGUUCUUUCUUUUAUGCACAGUCAUUCAGCUUACUCAAGCCCCAACCCCCAUCUAGGCUCUGACCCUUCAGGGUGCCCAACUGAACAAAAGGACCUUUCAUUGAAGCAGAACCUGCUCUUCUUAUAAGGCGUUUGUGGUUGUAGAUAGCAAAGCUUUCAUUCCUUUCUGUUAAAUUUAAAUACAUAUAUUUAAUUAAGUACCAGCUUUGUGCCAGAUUCUGGAGACAUAAAAUUGAAAAAAAAAAAAAAAACACAGAAAGCAAUCUUAAAAAAUUCACAGUUUAUGGAGCAAAUAACCCCCAUCUCAGGUCACGGAUGCUGAAACAAAGGUGAAGGCAAAGGGAGUGGAGUAGUCUGUAAAUUUGGGCCCCUUGCAGUUCUAUUCUGACCAAUAGGGUUGCUAUGAGUCAGAAUAGACUCAACAGCAAGGGGUAUAGAUUCAAGGGCAGGAACCUGCAGGAGUCGAGUUCCUUUCUCUUGCCAUGUGUUAAAGCCCGUGUUUGCUUUUGUUAUGGAUUGAAUUGUGUUCCCCCAAAAUAUGUGUCAUAAAUCCUAACUCCUAUUUAAAAAAAAAAACAAACCCUCCUAUACCUGUGGUUAUAAUCCCAUUUGGGAAUGGGUUUUCUCUGUUAUGUUAAGAGGCCAUUUAAGUAUUGGGUGUUUUAACCUUUAAGAUCGAAAA